rnacentral:lncRNA from 1 species
GUUUCCUGGUUGAUAUGUUUAGAAACAGUAAAUUUUCUGGACCGUUUGUUUGUCAUCUUUGCAAGCGUGGGAGUUUUAUGGUUGAAUUUGACUGUCUUUUUUCUUCUUUCUUUUGCACCCAUGGGAUGUUCCUUUUGUAGGUUUGUAGUUGUGAUUAAUAAAAUUUGCAUUGUUUGGCAUUAUGAACAUUUAUUCGAAAACCUGCUUAUGAGAACCUAUGCAUCUAGUUGUGUCAGGGACCUGCACUCUAAUUAGUACAUAUUUGGACCUGCAGUAACUCUUAUGAACAUCAAGUGCACCUAUACAACUAAGUUUUUGCAUUGAAGUGCUAGAUGGUAUUUACUAUUUAGUUGCCUUGUGAUUAAUAAAAUUUGCAUUGUUUGGCAUUAUGAACUUUUAUUCGAAAACCUGCUUAUGAGACCCUAUGCAUCUAGUUGUGUCAGGGACCUGCACUCUAAUUAGUACAUAUUUGGACCUGCAGUAACUCUUAUGAACAUCAAGU